UUCUGAAAGUGCAAGUAACAGCCGUUGUAUCAUUUGUGAUUUAUGUUUUAUUAUCGCUUAUCAUAUCACAGAAUUGAUGCAGCGAGCUGUACUUGUCGCAAUAUUCAGAA